UACGGGGGGAGCAAGCGUUGUUCGGAUUUACUGGGCGUAAAGGGUGCGUAGGCGGGUCUUUUAAGUCAGGGGUGAAAUCCUGGAGCUCAACUCCAGAACUGCCUUUGAUACUGAAGAUCUUGAGUUCGGGAGAGGUGAGUGGAACUGCGAGUGUAGAGGUGAAAUUCGUAGAUAUUCGCAAGAACACCAGUGGCGAAGGCGGCUCACUGGCCCGAUACUGACGCUGAGGCACGGAAAGCGUGGGGAGCAAACAGG
rnacentral:rRNA from 1 species